UAAUUUAUUUACAGAUGUUGCAAAUUAAUGAUUUUCCAAACUUGAAGCCCAGUCUCAUGGAUACGUGGAUUAAAGGACAAAAUGCAUUUCAAUUAAUUUCCAAACAUAGAUUAAAGGGACGAAAUGGUGUGAACAUUCCAAUCAAUUUCUGUAUCUCCCCCUAAUGUCAAGAAAAGCUCCUCAUAAAUAUGCAAUCAUGACGGGUUGUGAACAGAUCCAUAGUAAGGUGUUUAAUAUAGUUGAUAAUCGAUGGCGAUUUAUACCCCUAAUGAAUCCCCAGUUUUCUAUGUGGAUCCAUAGAUGUCCGCUAUGGUGGUAAGACCGGGGUGUAUGCAACACAUCCAAACUUACACAAACAAGAAAUAAUAGGAGGAUUCACGCGUAGCAAUUACAAAGAAAAUACUAUGAUAUGCAGUUGGCUUUCAUUGUAUCAAGUUGCUACAAAGAAAAUACUAUGAUAUGCAGUUGGCUUCCAUUGUAUCAAGUCAGCAACAUGUAAAAUAGCAUGACCCCAAAUAGGAGUUGGCAAAUUGCAAUUCAUCAACAAAGACCAUGCAAUGAAUUUGAUGUUCUUAAUUAAGACAAACCAUUUUGUAUAUGAGCAUAUGGUACAGGAUGUUAAACUUCAAUUCCUAAAGCCAUUCAAUAAUCAAUGAAAGCACACCAGGAGAAUUCUCGAAUUGACUUAAUUCAUCUUUCUCAAUAAUGGGCUUUCAACUAAAUGACUUUCUUGUAAAUAAAAGACACAACAGCUGUUGCAAUAAUCUUGGGAGAUGCAAGGUUCCAUGUAAAUAAAAGACACAACAGCUCGUUUGGCCGAUUACACAAAACAUGUUUUGCUCGACAUGGAUUUGUCAAUCUGAACAACAAACAGAUAGAUGUGCUGUUGCAACUUGCAAGUAAAAGAAAACCGCAACCGAGACACUCAUGUAUGAUCGUCCUGGUCUCAGCAACAGCUCGCUGAUCUGGCAUGGGCACGCCAACAAGGCCUGGUUCGUCGGUCGGCUCCAGCAUGGGCUCAACCUCAUCACCAUCGCACAUUUCCGUCAGCAUCCAGCAUCCUCACCGCCAUCGGCAGCAUCCGCCUUCUCCACGAUCUGACCGACGGUGAGGAGGUGACCUUGGCAAGCAGCGGCGUAGGGGUGACCUUGGCACUCUGGCUAGGAGGAGAGGAGAGGGACCACGAUGUAGGAGAGGGAUUGGGAUGGAGGUGUGGGGAAGAUGCGUCAAAUCCACAGGAAGUGUGGGGAAAGAUUUCGGCCUAGCUAUGGUAACCUUUCGCUGGAAUUGUGGAAUGAAUUCCUAUGCCCAAAUCUGUGACAGCCAAACGCGUUGAGUUCGGAAUUCAAAAAUGAAAUCCAUGAAUUCCAGACCAAAUGAUAUGCCAAACGAGCUGUAAAAUGUAUAAGGUGAUCAGAUAGGAGCGAAAGACUAUUCUUGUUCAAGUAAACAUUAUUACUUAAUCAUAUGAACUAUGCACUUGGGUUCAUCAUAACCUUGUGAAAAACCAAUAUUAGAAAGCAAGAACGAGAAUGACAGAAAUAUGUAAGAAAAAUCAUAGAAACAUUGUGCCAUAUGAAGAAAAUUCAGACACAUGCUUAGAAAGAAGCAAUAUCUUAGAAAGAAGCAAUAUUGUUGGGCGCAUAGCUUAGAAAGAAGCAAAAUCUUAGAAAGAAGCACUAUCGUUGGCCGCUAGAGAAGAUUAGAUCAUUCCACAUGAAGCAAAUUCAGACAUGCAUGGUCUAUAAUUUAGUCUCUAAUCCCCACUAACGUACACAAACUACUUAAACCCAAACACAUCAGCAGAGGGAAAACAUUUUGAUGCAGAAGAGGACACAGAAUAUGGGAGAUGAUACAACAGAAUGGUCGACCAAAAGAAGAUGCCAGUUACCAUGAACGAGACCAAAUAUCAAUUGUCACCGUCCUCAACAAGAUGGAAAAUCAAGGACGAACAAAAAAAGGAUGACAAACAAGCACACAAAUUGCAACAUGCUCAAGACACAAAAUCCUGCAGUUUCUAGUGAAAGCAAGCACUAUUUCUACGCUGGACAAGAAUCAACAAUGACCAGAACUUGAGAUGGUAGAACUACUGCCCAAUGCUACAGGACUGCAGAAUCAUACAAAAAAAAGGAACAAAUGGUAAAGAGCUGUUGGAAGGUUGGUAAGCAUAGGAACAAAUGGUAAAUAGCUGUAGGAAGGUUGGUAAGCGGGUUGCCCAAUGAUAUUGGCAGGCCGACCAGAUUUCCUUCCUUAGUGGUUUGACUACAGCCGAUUCUGGCAGGCAAGACGAUGGUACAAAGAACCAAAGCCAUGGUACAAUGCAGCCCUAAUGCUGCUUCAAUAGAUGAGCAAAUGGUUUUUAAGUGCACUGUUGAGACGUCAGACAAUGCUUUCUAGGCAAAUGCAUCUCCGUCAGGACGCAACAAUGUUUGCUGCUCGGAGCCCAGUGCAGAUCUUCAUCCAUACCACAACAUUUGAUUCCGAAUCCCUUUAAACAACUGAAUUUUGAAGUGUCUCAAAAAAUAACAUAUUAAAGAAUGCAACAAAAUUCAAGUGGACAUUCGAAAGCUGUUCGAUUUGGCUUCAGAAUUGCAGAAAGACAGCAUGGACACAUACAUAGUGACCGAUCAGUCCCGAAAGAUGGUAUGAUUAAUAGGUUUUUCAUCACCAGCCAAGCUAAAUCAAUUAAAUGGUUUCACCAGCAGUAGCAAAAAGAACUCAGGAUUUAGGAAAUGUCAAAAAAAAAAAAAUUAAAUAGUGGAAGACAAGGAAACAGUACUCAACAAUCAAAGAGGGCAUGACAGAAAACAAAGACAGACACUAAUCAAGUUGAUCUCAGAAUUGCAGAAUGACAGCAUGGACGCAUAGCGACCAAUCAGUCCCGAAAGAUGGUAUGAUUAAUAGGUUUUUCAUCACUGGCCAAACUUGAACAAAUGUCAAGAACAGAAAAUACAGACAAGCAUACAACUACCAACUACAAGAUAUAACAAAUGCACAUACAAAAGGUUAAAAUAGAAAACAAGGUAAAAUGAGAAAAAUGAUUUGAGCAAACCAUGUAAGAUUUGCCUACAAAACUUUCCAAUUAGCCACACAGGCCCACACAUAGUGGUGCGAAUCAUGCUAGUCCUACAAGAAGACCUCAAAGCAUAAAUUUCAUCAAAAGGAGGAGUGCAUAUAGCAAAGGCAUAGAAAUAACAAUUAGAUGCAUAUGAAAUGACAGGAAAAUGAUUGUUGGCGAAAGAGACUAUCAAGCUCAACCCAACUGCCCACUUUCCUCAAAUUAAUAUUGCAGGAAAUACUUUCAGUAAUGAAUGCAGAGCAAAAGCAUUUAACCAAUACACACCUAUCCUGCAGAGGCAGCAUACCGAAGGCAUAAAAUUAACAAUGAGAUACAUUUGAAGGAAUAUAAUGAGUGGAAAAUGAUUGUUGGCAAAAGAGAUUAUCAAGCUCAACCCAACUGCCCACUUUCCACAAAUUAAUAUAGCAGGAAACACUUUCAGUAAGAAAUGCACAUCAAAAGGCAUUUAACCGAUACACACUUAUCCUGCAAAUGCAACAAGGAGAGAAAUAGCAAAACAAAUUCUUAUGCAAAGAAGAUAGAUUCAGAAGCAGUCACCUCACAUAGGAAGGACAAUGAGAGGAAAAUGAUUGUUGGUGACAGAGAUUAUCAAGCUCAACCCAACUGCCCACUUUCCACAAAUUAAUAUAGCAGGAAUUACUUUCAGUAACAAAUGCAUAGCAAAAGCAUUUAACUGAUACACACUUAUCCUGCAAAGACUAAAAGGGAGGAAAAGGUAAAGGAAACAAAAUCGAUAUGGAAGCGACAACAAUCACGCAAAAAGCAGAGAUGACAGAUUAGAAGGGAGGGAAGUGAUUGUCGUGGAAAGCAAUUAAAAGCUUAGGACACUGAAGUGUAUAAUCCGAUGCAAACUAUACUGUACAAUGUGCAUAAAACUUUGCAUCAUAGAACCUACGAAUUACUAAUCAUAGUUUUUUUCACUUGCAUAUAACAUAAAAGAACAGAAGGUAACACAAAUAUAAAAAGCAAGUUGUAGCUCUUAGGUUUAAUUAUCACUGUAUAUCAGAUAACACAUUCUAACAAUACCAUAGCAACAUGAAAUUUGGAAAUAUAUAUUGGUUACUGUCGUUUGAACUUCAAAAGAUGAAGCCAAUAAAUAAAAA